CAAGUCGAACGAAUCCCAUCUGGGCAACUGGGUGGGGGAAGUGGCGAAAGGGGCAGUAAGGCGUGGGUAACCUACCCCGGGGAUCGGGAUAGCCAUCCUAACGGAUGGGUAAUACCGGGCGAUGUAGCGGCGGGGCAUCUCGUUGCUACGAAAUGAGUUUCGCCUCGGGAGGGGCUCACGUAGUAUUAGCUUGUUGGUGAGGUAACGGCUCACCAAGGCCAAGAUGCUUAGCGGGUGCGAGAGCACGACCCGCGCCACUGGCACUGAGACACUGGCCAGACUCCUACGGGAGGCUGCAGUCGAGGAUCUUCGGCAAUGGGCGCAAGCCUGACCGAGCGACGCCGCGUGUGCGAUGAAGGCCUUCGGGUUGUAAAGCACUGUCGAGGGGGAGAAAAGCCCGCAAGGGUCUGAUCUAUCCCUGGAGGAAGCACGGGCUAAGUUCGUGCCAGCAGCCGCGGUAAGACGAACCGUGCAAACGUUGUUCGGAUUCACUGGGCUUAAAGGGCGCGUAGGCGGGCGGUCGAGUCCGGGGUGAAAUCUUUCAGCUCAACUGGAAAAGUGCCUCGGAUACCGGCCAUCUCGAGGGAGGUAGGGGCAUGCGGAACUUCCGGUGGAGCGGUGAAAUGCGUAGAUAUCGGAAGGAACGCCGGUGGCGAAAGCGGCGUGCUGGACCUCUUCUGACGCUGAGGCGCGAAAGCUAGGGGAGCGAACGGGAUUAGAUACCCCGGUAGUCCUAGCCCUAAACGAUGGGUACUAGAUUGUGGACUUAACAUGGGUUCACAGUCGAAGCAAAAGUGUUAAGUACCCCGCCUGGGGAGUAUGGUCGCAAGGCUGAAACUCAAAGGAAUUGACGGGGGCUCACACAAGCGGUGGA
rnacentral:rRNA from 1 species